CCUACGGGCGGCAGCAGUCGAGAAUCAUUCACAAUGGGGGAAACCCUGAUGGUGCGACGCCGCGUGGGGGAAUGAAGGUCUUCGGAUUGUAAACCCCUGUCAUGUGGGAGCAAAUUAAAAAGAUAGUACCACAAGAGGAAGAGACGGCUAACUCUGUUCCAACAGCCGCGGUAAUACAGAGGUCUCAAGCGUUGUUCGGAAUCACUGGGCGUAAGGCGUGCGUAGGCUGUUUCGUAAGUAGUGUGUGAAAGGCGCGGGCUCAACCCGCGGACGGCACAUGAUACUGCGAGACUAGAGUAAUGGAGGGGGAACCGGAAUUCUCGGUGUAGCAGUGAAAUGCGUAGAUAUCGAGAGGAACACUCGUGGCGAAGGCGGGUUCCUGGACAUUAACUGACGCUGAGGCACGAAGGCCAGGGGAGCGAAAGGGAUUAGAUACCCGGGUAGUC
rnacentral:rRNA from 1 species